GGUUAAGCGACUAAGCGUACACGGUGGAUGCCCUGGCAGUCAGAGGCGAUGAAGGGCGUGCUAAUCUGCGAUAAGCGCCGGUAAGGUGAUAUGAACCGUUAUAACCGGCGAUACCCGAAUGGGGAAACCCAGUGUGAUUCGUCACACUAUCAUUAACUGAAUCCAUAGGUUAAUGAGGCGAACCGGGGGAACUGAAACAUCUAAGUACCCCGAGGAAAAGAAAUCAACCGAGAUUCCCCCAGUAGCGGCGAGCGAACGGGGAGGAGCCCAGAGCCUGAAUCAGCAUGUGUGUUAGUGGAAGCGUCUGGAAAGGCGCGCGAUACAGGGUGACAGCCCCGUACACAAAAGCGCAUGUGCUGUGAGCUCGAUGAGUAGGGCGGGACACGUGGUAUCCUGUCUGAAUAUGGGGGGACCAUCCUCCAAGGCUAAAUACUCCUGACUGACCGAUAGUGAACCAGUACCGUGAGGGAAAGGCGAAAAGAACCCCGGCGAGGGGAGUGAAAAAGAACCUGAAACCGUGUACGUACAAGCAGUGGGAGCACAGGUUUACCUGUGUGACUGCGUACCUUUUGUAUAAUGGGUCAGCGACUUAUAUUCUGUAGCAAGGUUAACCGAAUAGGGGAGCCGGAGGGAAACCGAGUCUUAAUUGGGCGUUAAGUUGCAGGGUAUAGACCCGAAACCCGGUGAUCUAGCCAUGGGCAGGUUGAAGGUUGGGUAACACUAACUGGAGGACCGAACCGACUAAUGUUGAAAAAUUAGCGGAUGACCUGUGGCUGGGGGUGAAAGGCCAAUCAAACCGGGAGAUAGCUGGUUCUCCCCGAAAGCUAUUUAGGUAGCGCCUCGUGAAUUCAUCUCCGGGGGUAGAGCACUGUUUCGGCUAGGGGGCCAUCCCGGCUUACCAACCCGAUGCAAACUGCGAAUACCGGAGAAUGUUAUCACGGGAGACACACGGCGGGUGCUAACGUCCGUCGUGAAGAGGGAAACAACCCAGACCGCCAGCUAAGGUCCCAAAGUCAUGGUUAAGUGGGAAACGAUGUGGGAAGGCCCAGACAGCCAGGAUGUUGGCUUAGAAGCAGCCAUCAUUUAAAGAAAGCGUAAUAGCUCACUGGUCGAGUCGGCCUGCGCGGAAGAUGUAACGGGGCUAAACCAUGCACCGAAGCUGCGGCAGCGAACGUAUCACUUAAAGCGAUUCAGCGGGUUACGAUUGACGGAGCGAAGCGACGUCAAAGCGUAUACAAAGUCGAGUCGGUUUAAGGAUACGUUCGUUGGGUAGGGGAGCGUUCUGUAAGCCUGUGAAGGUGGCCUGUGAGGGUUGCUGGAGGUAUCAGAAGUGCGAAUGCUGACAUAAGUAACGAUAAAGCGGGUGAAAAGCCCGCUCGCCGGAAGACCAAGGGUUCCUGUCCAACGUUAAUCGGGGCAGGGUGAGUCGACCCCUAAGGCGAGGCCGAAAGGCGUAGUCGAUGGGAAACAGGUUAAUAUUCCUGUACUUGGUGUUACUGCGAAGGGGGGACGGAGAAGGCUAUGUUGGCCGGGCGACGGUUGUCCCGGUUUAAGCGUGUAGGCUGGUUUUCCAGGCAAAUCCGGAAAAUCAAGGCUGAGGCGUGAUGACGAGGCACUACGGUGCUGAAGCAACAAAUGCCCUGCUUCCAGGAAAAGCCUCUAAGCAUCAGGUAACAUCAAAUCGUACCCCAAACCGACACAGGUGGUCAGGUAGAGAAUACCAAGGCGCUUGAGAGAACUCGGGUGAAGGAACUAGGCAAAAUGGUGCCGUAACUUCGGGAGAAGGCACGCUGACACGUAGGUGAAGUGAUUUACUCACGGAGCUGAAGUCAGUCGAAGAUACCAGCUGGCUGCAACUGUUUAUUAAAAACACAGCACUGUGCAAACACGAAAGUGGACGUAUACGGUGUGACGCCUGCCCGGUGCCGGAAGGUUAAUUGAUGGGGUCAGCGCAAGCGAAGCUCCUGAUCGAAGCCCCGGUAAACGGCGGCCGUAACUAUAACGGUCCUAAGGUAGCGAAAUUCCUUGUCGGGUAAGUUCCGACCUGCACGAAUGGCGUAAUGAUGGCCAGGCUGUCUCCACCCGAGACUCAGUGAAAUUGAACUCGCUGUGAAGAUGCAGUGUACCCGCGGCAAGACGGAAAGACCCCGUGAACCUUUACUAUAGCUUGACACUGAACAUUGAGCCUUGAUGUGUAGGAUAGGUGGGAGGCUUUGAAGUGUGGACGCCAGUCUGCAUGGAGCCGACCUUGAAAUACCACCCUUUAAUGUUUGAUGUUCUAACGUGGACCCGUAAUCCGGGUUGCGGACAGUGUCUGGUGGGUAGUUUGACUGGGGCGGUCUCCUCCUAAAGAGUAACGGAGGAGCACGAAGGUUGGCUAAUCCUGGUCGGACAUCAGGAGGUUAGUGCAAUGGCAUAAGCCAGCUUGACUGCGAGCGUGACGGCGCGAGCAGGUGCGAAAGCAGGUCAUAGUGAUCCGGUGGUUCUGAAUGGAAGGGCCAUCGCUCAACGGAUAAAAGGUACUCCGGGGAUAACAGGCUGAUACCGCCCAAGAGUUCAUAUCGACGGCGGUGUUUGGCACCUCGAUGUCGGCUCAUCACAUCCUGGGGCUGAAGUAGGUCCCAAGGGUAUGGCUGUUCGCCAUUUAAAGUGGUACGCGAGCUGGGUUUAGAACGUCGUGAGACAGUUCGGUCCCUAUCUGCCGUGGGCGCUGGAGAACUGAGGGGGGCUGCUCCUAGUACGAGAGGACCGGAGUGGACGCAUCACUGGUGUUCGGGUUGUCAUGCCAAUGGCACUGCCCGGUAGCUAAAUGCGGAAGAGAUAAGUGCUGAAAGCAUCUAAGCACGAAACUUGCCCCGAGAUGAGUUCUCCCUGAGACUUAGAGUCUCCUGAAGGAACGUUGAAGACGACGACGUUGAUAGGCCGGGUGUGUAAGCGCAGCGAUGCGUUGAGCUAACCGGUACUAAUGAACCGUGAGGCUUAACCUU
rnacentral:rRNA from 1 species